rnacentral:lncRNA from 1 species
GAGGGAUACAUAUUAUUUGUGAUAGAGUUCGCGCCCGCAACAGAUACGUGCUCUUGUAUCUUUUUCAAAAGAAAAAGGUUCAUCUUCCUUCUUGCGAACCUCAUUGGAUCAUUCAUCUCAUAAGCGCUCCAAACUCCACCAUUCAUCUUCCUGCAUGGAUCCCAAAGCGAUUGCUUAGUGAUCUGACAGUGGAUCAAGUAAAUCCUUCUCUCGCAAGAAAAAUACAAUCGUAACCCACGACGCCGAUGUAGGAAUUGCUUGAAAUCCAAGGUAAGAUAGAAAAUAAGGUACCUGGUGAAAAUAAAAGUAAAUCAAUGUUGAAAAAACACAUAAUAUACUAGAGUUUCGCUUCUCAGUUCUUGGAUGUUGAACGGUAGCUAGUUUCAUGUUGAGUCAGAUCGGAACUAGAGUCAUCGCACCAAAAAAUAAAAAAAACUUGGACCUUCCGCCCAUGAAUUGCCCUUCCUCCCCGUAGUUUUAGAGAAAACGAGC